AGACGUAGGGGGCGAGCGUUGUCCGGAAUUACUGGGCGUAAAGAGCACGUAGGCGGAUAUUUAAGUCAGGUGUGAAAGACCGCAGCUCAACUGCGGGGUUGCACCUGAAACUGGGUAUCUUGAGGGCAGGAGAGGGAAGUGGAAUUCCUGGUAUAGCGGUGAAAUGCGCAGAUAUCCGGAGGAACACCAGUGGCGAAAGCGGCCUCCUGGACCAUUCCUGACACUCAGACGCGAAAGCUAGGGUAGCAAACGGGAUUAGAGACCCCGGUAGUCCUAGCCCUAAACGAUGUAGACUAGGCGUCGGUGGUUUAAACGCCAUCGGUGUCCAAGCUAACGCGAUAAGUCUACCGCCUGGGGACUACGGCCGCAAGGUUAAA
rnacentral:rRNA from 1 species